rnacentral:rRNA from 1 species
UACGUAGGGACCAAGCGUUGUUCGGAUUUACUGGGCGUAAAGGGCGCGUAGGCGGCAAUUCAAGUCAUCUGUGAAAUCUCCGGGCUUAACUCGGAAUGGUCAGGUGAUACUGCUUUGCUGAGAGUGCAGGAAGGGCAAUCGGAAUUCUUGGUGUAGCGGUGAAAUGCGUAGAUAUCAAGAGGAACACCUGAGGUGAAGACGGGUUGCUGGGCUGACACGUGACGCUGGAGGCGACGAAAGCUAGGGGAGCAAACGGG